GGUUAGUUACGCUUGCGUAAUACGAAAGAACGCCGCAGGAACUUACUGGCGUCUGCGCUUGUGGCGAGGUGCAGUUCUUCUAGUGAGGAAAACAGUAUGUUCAUAGUCAUAAGAAUGCCCAGCUGGUUACCAUUGCAAGGAGAAGGCGGCACAGGAGCAAGAAAAUCAAAACAGAACCAACGGACGUCUUAAGAGUUUCAGGGAAAUUCUUCAGAUAAGGAAAUGGAUUACAGGACCAUUACUUGCAGGCAAUGGGCUAUGGUCUAUUUAUACUUGACUUUACAACUAAGGCACUUACCACUAGAGGUAGAGAUUGUGACAGGAUAUAAUGGGGGUAAUAUUUCUAUUUAUGUGUGACACUGCUGGAUAUAGAACACUAGAAAGCACAUUUACUAAGCCAGUGCAAAGUGCUGAAUUCAGAAAUUGCCAUCUUGCCUCCAGAACAUUUGAGCAAUAGCAGGUGUCCAACAAUCACAAAUGCACCAGUUGGUAAAUGUCGAUGUGUUUUGUAUAUUGCUGUAAGUUUUCUUAGUGGGAAUGUUGUCACUUGUGAUGUGCUGGGUCAGUAACAGCAUUAGUGUGUGGACACAAGUCGGUUGUGUGUACAGGCACUACCUGAACCCAAGGGAAUCCUGGAUGUAAGGGAGGAACUCCAUGGUGCACACUGCGUAUUCAUCUGACAGUCGGAUAAAUGCAGUUCUUACCUGCAAUCUCUCCUUCACUUCCUGUAUCUACAGAACAUCAGACACGUUGCAUGCAUUCCGUCGCAUGGCACAUGUAGGCUUGAGCCGCACUGUGGAGUUCCUCCCUAAAUUAUUGCAUUCACACACUGUAUGCUUUGCAUUUGCUCACAGCUGCAUGCAAUUCAUUAUACCUGACUGAAGCAAUGCAUGGAUGCUAUGGGCAAAUUGUAAGCAGGCUUUACAGGAGCAAAGUAUCCUUUCUUAAUAGCGUCCAUGCAUGCAAAAAGCUAUAAUAUUACUAAAAAAUCCCUCCUAAGAAUAGUUGAAAUGUACUAUUUUGCUCUGACAUGACACAAAACUACCAACAUUCAGAAUUCAAAAAUCUCCUAUCCAGGGCCAGGAUCUUCUAUCUACUUUUAUGCUGCCAUCUGUUUCAAAACCUGCCUAUUUUCCAGUAAGCUUCACCCCUUAUCUGUGAUUCAGGACAUUAAGCCAAAUACAUGAACUGUUGUGGUGGUGUAUGGUAUUAGCAAGUAGCCCUUAAAAACUUUAACUAUAGGUCUGGAGUAAUGUCCAAACCUGCAGGUUUUCAGCUGUUAUUAAACAAGGAGGUUGUUGUGAGCUGUGGUUCGGCAAUAGCUGUUAAUCCACUAUAUGAGCAUUAUGGAAAAACAAAUAAAGUAUUAAAAGUACAGUUAUACAGAAACCAAGCUAAUGACUCACAGAUUCUAAAUUCUAUCAGCAGCAUUAUACCACAUGAGAGGCACAUGCAGUAUUUUAAAGGGGAACUAAAGUCUAAAAUAGAAUAAUGCUAGAAAUGCUGUAUUUUGUAUACUAAACAUCAACAUGAACUUACUGCACC